CACGCCGUAAACGAUGAGCACUAGGUGUCGGGGCCGCAAGGUUUCGGUGCCGCAGUUAACGCAUUAAGUGCUCCGCCUGGGGAGUACGUGCGCAAGCAUGAAACUCAAAGGAAUUGACGG
rnacentral:rRNA from 1 species